AUGUUCACUUGUGUGCUUAUACUGCUGACUUUAACUCAAGGUAACAGAGCUAAAGAUGUCAUCACCCCAUACAGUGAUGCAGCAUUUGCCGAGACUGAGUCUGUGAAACUCUCUUGUAACUACACUGGUUCUGUCAAGAGUCUUCACUGGUAUCGGCAAUAUGCAGGUUCACCACCACAGUUCCUCAUCCUGGAUUCCUAUGGAUCAAUUACGCAAGCUAAUCCUCCAGUUUCUGGAAUAUCCAUCAGUCACAGAAAAGAAGAUAACAGUGUGGAUCUGAUCAUCUCCUCUGCUUCAGUAUCAGACUCUGCUCUGUAUUACUGUGCUCUGCAGCCCACAGUGACAGGAAACACUCAACACACCAUACAAGAACCUGACCGACUCUAUAGUCAUAAAAUUAGAUGUCAGAAAAACAAAUAG